AAUAUUUGCAUCCCCCAAUCACUGCCGUAGGAGCUAGGGCUUUUGCCAAGAGGGCGGGGUUCCAUGCUGCCCCCCGCCCUAGGCUUUUAUUGGGGAAGGUUGGCAAUAGCGGGUAUCAGUUUCCUUCCCCUGCCAACCCCCACCUCGAGGUGCUGGGACUAGAUGGGGGUGAAGGAGAAUGGAUCUUUUGAGUAUCUCUCCAAGCCUUGAUCUCAAAGCGCGUGAUGCAGAGAGAGCUGGAUGAAGUGACUCAAAAGACUUCUGGCCUGGAUUCUACCUUUCAGUUCCUGAAAAAUCACCUGGAUAAAUCACUUCCUUUCUCUGGGAUUCAUUCUCUUCUCUAAAAUGAAGAGGUUGAACUAAACUGGCCUAUUGGCUGAAGUUUUGGUGCCUGGUGUUUGCUAGUACUUGAAACUCCUGUCUACUUUCAAGGUUCAAGGUAAUCACCUCAUCUUUCUAGGAUCUUUCCUGAUUGCCCUAGUUACAGUAGUUAGCAUCUCCCACCCUGGUUGCACACUUUAAAUUUAUUUAUUUAUUUUUAUCUAUCUCACCUUUUUUUUUUUAAUCUUUGAACAGGUUGUAUUUCUCUUC
rnacentral:lncRNA from 1 species